UACGUAGGUGGCAAGCGUUGUCCGGAUUUAUUGGGUUUAAAGGGUGCGUAGGCGGCCGCCUAAGUCAGUUGUGAAAUACCCCGGCUCAACCGGGGGGGUGCGAUUGAUACUGGGCGGCUCGAGUAACAGCGAGGUUGGCGGAAUUGACGGUGUAGCGGUGAAAUGCAUAGAUAUCGUCAAGAACACCGAUAGCGAAGGCAGCCAACUAGGGGUUAACUGACGCUGAGGCACGAAAGUGCGGAGAUCAAACAGG
rnacentral:rRNA from 1 species